UACGUAGGGGACAAGCGUUGUCCGGAAUCAUUGGGCGUAAAGAGCGUGUAGGCGGCUCGGUAAGUCCGCUGUAAAAGUCCAGGGCUCAACCCUGGAAAGCCGGUGGAAACUGUCGAGCUAGAGUCCGGAAGAGGCGAGUGGAAUUCCUGGUGUAGCGGUGAAAUGCGCAGAUAUCAGGAGGAACACCAAUGGCGAAGGCAGCUCGCUGGGACGGUACUGACGCUGAGACGCGAAAGCGUGGGGAGCAAACAGG
rnacentral:rRNA from 1 species